GGGUUCACCCCGCGUCGGCUUCCGGGCCGACGAGCGCCCGUCGGAGGCCAAUCAAACUCUUGUUUAUCAGUGUCGUCCGAGUACAAAGCAUAAUAAUUAAAACUUUCAACAACGGAUCUCUUGGUUCCAGCAUCGAUGAAGAACGCAGCGAAAUGCGAUAACUAAUGUGAAUUGCAGAAUUCAGUGAAUCAUCGAGUCUUUGAACGCACAUUGCGCCCCUCGGUAUUCCGGGGGGCAUGCCUGUUCGAGCGUCAUUGCACCCCUCAAGCGUAGCUUGGUAUUGGGCGUCGCCCCCGUGGCGUGCCCGAAAAUCAGUGGCGGUUCGGUGUGACUUUAAGCGUAAUAAAUUCCAUCCCGCUUUGAAAGUUCGCCCCGCGGCCGGCCAGACAACCCCAUUCAUUCCAAUAAUUGACCUCGGAUCAGGUAGGGAUACCCGCUGAACUUAAGCAUAUCAAUAAGCGGAGGAAAAGAAACCA
rnacentral:rRNA from 1 species